UUUGAAAGUAAAAGUUGGGGAACAAGGUUUCCGUAGGUGAACUGCGGAAGGAUCAUUGUCGUGAUCCUUAAACAAAACAGACCGCGAACGUGUCCCUCGUGCCGCCGGGCUUCGGCCCGGCACGAGGUCCCCGAGCUCCGUCCCGGAGCGGAGGGGCCACAACAGAACCCACGGCGCCUUAGGCGUCAAGGAACACCUAAAUUGCCUUGCGCGGUGGAGCGGUCGGCCCGCCUUCCGCUCCCCGCGCAGCGAUGAUAUCUUAAUCGACACGACUCUCGGCAACGGAUAUCUCGGCUCUCGCAUCGAUGAAGAACGUAGCAAAAUGCGAUACCUGGUGUGAAUUGCAGAAUCCCGCGAACCAUCGAGUUUUUGAACGCAAGUUGCGCCCGAGGCCUUCCGGCCGAGGGCACGUCUGCCUGGGCGUCACGCCAAAAGACACUCCCAACCCACCCGAGGGGGAGGGACGUGGUGUUUGGUCCCCCGUGCCGCAGGGCGCGGUGGGCCGAAGUUGGGGCUGCCGGCGAAUCGUGUCGGGCACAGCACGUGGUGGGCGACACUCAGUUGUUCUCGGUGCAGCGCCCCGGCACGCGGCCGGCGCAUCGGCCCUAAGGACCCAAGGAAGCACCGCAGCGCGUAGCCUUCCCCUGCGACCGCUACCCCAGGUCCCCCUGAAGUAGAGUCGAACCCAGG
rnacentral:sRNA from 1 species